rnacentral:rRNA from 1 species
GGGUCAGUAGGUUGGUCGUGCCACCGGUACGUACUGGUCUCACUGAUUCCUCCUUCCUGAAGAACCGUAAUGCCAUUAAUUUGGUGUUGCGGGGAAACAGGACUGUUACUUUGAAAAAAUUAGAGUGUUUAAAGCAAGCUAACACUUGAAUACAUUAGCAUGGAAUAAUGAAAUAGGACGAUCGAUCCUAUUUUGUCGGUUUCUAGGAUUGACGUA